GUUUGUUGUCCUUUCAACUUCCGUAUCAGCUUUUAACAUCAAUCAGCAAAUUCAUCCUUUUCCAGAUGAAUAAUGAUCUCCCGCUGACUGGCAUGUCUGUCUGAAGAACAAGAAAUGUGAUGAAGCUGACCCUGUGGCACCUCUUUUCUCUAGAGCACAUAUCAUGGAUAUUCAGGUGCUUUUACCAACAGUUACCUAUGAAAAUGUUUGUGGAAAGCAGAGGACUGUGAGUAGGAUCAAAUUGUUUGACAUAGUAGAACAUGGAGUCCUGCUUCUCUUUAUUUGUUCACUCCUUUCACUUCACUACUUUGGUCCCUUUCUAAGGGUUGGGGAGGCUCCUUCUGCUGCGAUGAGCCAAGCUGAAAUGGUGUCCCUCUGGGCACUUGCUGGAGCAGGCUCUCCUUGUGGCAGCCCUGACUUUGGUGGCAGAGUAUUAACUAUUAGGGAGGGGAGGAGGGAUCAGAACACGAGGUAGGCCAGCUGCCAGCGACACUAAAAUUACUCUGUAACUACUCCAAUAUGUGUACCAGAAUUUAGGGACUCCGAUAUAUUCAGACGGAACAGUUUUACACAAAGGGUAGUUGAAAUACAGUCUGGAACAAACUGCCGAAGUCAGCAGUAGAAGCAAAUAGUGUAAAUCAGUUCAAGGAGGAGUUUUUGAAGAAGGCAGGGGGAAGAGCACAGAACUACUAGCUAGAAGUUUAAGUUUCAUGUGAUGGAACGCAGAUUGAUUUGUAUUUCCUGAGGUUAUGAGGGCAGGUCUUCAUGGACCGUAUCAUCCUCUUUGGGCUGCUUAAUGUUUGUAUGUGCUUUUGUGCUGUGUUUCAUUCUCUUUCAGUUCAGAAGGAUGCAUUUUUUUUUUCUUCUUGCUCCUACAGUCUCGUUGAAUAACAUGUUGCUGAGUAUAAUGCAUACUGCAGAAACUCUGUUUCCCAGCAUCUGGGUGAACUUCCCUGAAUUCAGUGUAGUUGUUUAGUUACAGUGAUAUCAGGCAGCAUCCUUUUCAGCUUAUAGGCAUAUAAAUUUGUAUGCAUUGUGUUGCAUUAUUUCUUAGGAAAUACCUGCAGAUGAUGAUAUAAUAUUUAUGUCUAUGCUGUUCUGUUAAAGAAAUCUUAACUGUGCAAUCAAGUCUGGAAGUGCUUUAGGUGUUUCAGGGUCCCACUAAUCCCAGCAUGGUCAUGCUGCUGUGAUGAAAGCUGUACAUCACAGGAGGGGGCAGAGCAGAAACCUGAGGUGGGGAACACAAAUCCACAUGAUGAUAUUUCCAUGUUUUUUUUUUUCUUGUGGCCAAGGACACGUGAUAGUGACAGAGUCCUUAGCUAGCUCCCCUGACUUUACAGGACUCCUUCUUUUAAAAGACUUGGGAGAGCAGUGAUGAGCCUGAUUCUGCAAGGUGCUAUGCUCCAUAAACUUCAUGGCAUGUCAGCAUAAGCCGAAUUUUUUCCAUGUCUUGCUGGAUGGAUCAGGCCUUGCUU
rnacentral:lncRNA from 1 species